rnacentral:rRNA from 1 species
CUGAUCAGCUAUGCCGCGUGUGUGAAGAAGGCCUUCGGGUUGUAAAGCACUUUUGUCCGGAAAGAAAGCAUUUACACGAAUAAUGUAGAUGGAUGACGGUACCGGAAGAAUAAGCACCGGCUAACUACGUGCCAGCAGCCGCGGUAAUACGUAGGGUGCGAGCGUUAAUCGGAAUAACUGGGCGUAAAGGGUGCGCAGGCGGUUUGUUAAGACGGAUGUGAAAGCCCCGGGCUCAACCUGGGAAUGGCAUACGUGACUGGCAAACUAGAAUAUGGCAGAGGGAGGUGGAAUUCCAUGUGUAGCAGUGAAAUGCGUAGAGAUAUGGAGGAACAUCGAUGGCGAAGGCAGCCUCCUGGGCCAAUAUUGACGCUCAGGCACGAAAGCGUGGGGAGCAAACAGGAUUAGAUACCCUGGUAGUCCACGCCCUAAACGAUGUCAACUAGUUGUUAGGGAAGUUUUUCCUUAUUAACGUAGCUUACGCGUGAAGUUGACCGCCUGGGGAGUACGGUCGCAAGACUAAAACUC